rnacentral:rRNA from 1 species
GUGCCAGCAGCCGCGGUAAUACAGAGGGGGCAAGCGUUAUUCGGAAUUAUUGGGCGUAAAGGGCGCGUAGGCGGCUUGGCAAGUGGAAGGUGAAAUCCCUCGGCUUAACCGAGGAACUGCCCUCCAAACUGCUUCGCUUGAGACCGGGAGAGGUGAGUGGAAUUCCCAGUGUAGCGGUGAAAUGCGUAGAUAUUGGGAGGAACACCAGUGGCGAAGGCGGCUCACUGGACCGGUACUGACGCUGAUGCGCGAAAGCGUGGGGAGCAAACGGGAUUAGAUACCCCGGUAGUCC